GCAUAUCAAUAAGCGGAGGGAAAAGAAACCAACAGGGGAUUGCCUCAGUAACGGCGAGUGAAGCGGCAAGAGCUCAAAUUUGAAAGCUGGCUCCUUCGGGGUCCGCAUUGUAAUUUGCAGAGGAGGCUUCGGGAGCGGCCCCCAUCUAAGUGCCCUGGAACGGGCCGUCAUAGAGGGUGAGAAUCCCGUCUGGGAUGGGGUGCCCGCGCCCGUGUGAAGCUCCUUCGACGAGUCGAGUUGUUUGGGAAUGCAGCUCUAAAUGGGUGGUAAAUUUCAUCUAAAGCUAAAUACUGGCCGGAGACCGAUAGCGCACAAGUAGAGUGAUCGAAAGAUGAAAAGCACUUUGAAAAGAGAGUUAAACAGCACGUGAAAUUGUUGAAAGGGAAGCGCUUGCGACCAGACUCGCCUGUAGGGUUCAGCCGGCAUUCGUGCCGGUGUACUUCCCUGCGGGCGGGCCAGCGUCGGUUUGGGCGGCCGGUCAAAGGCCCUCGGAAUGUAACGCCCCCCGGGGCGUCUUAUAGCCGAGGGUGCCAUGCGGCCAGCCCGGACCGAGGAACGCGCUUCGGCUCGGACGCUGGCAUAAUGGUCGUAAGCGACCCGUCUUGAAACACGGACCAAGGAGUCUAACAUCUACGCGAGUGUUCGGGUGUCAAACCCGUGCGCGCAGUGAAAGCGAACGGAGGUGGGAACCCCUCGGGGUGCACCAUCGACCGAUCCUGAUGUCUUCGGAUGGAUUUGAGUAAGAGCGUAGCUGUUGGGACCCGAAAGAUGGUGAACUAUGCCUGAAUAGGGCGAAGCCAGAGGAAACUUCUGGUGGAGGCUCGCAGCGGUUUCUGACGUGCAAAUCGAUCGUCAAAUUUGGGUAUAGGGGGCGAAAGACUAAUCGAACCAUCUAGUAGCUGGUUCCUGCCGA
rnacentral:rRNA from 1 species